rnacentral:rRNA from 1 species
CUGUGAUGUCAUCUGAAACCCUGCAAAAUUUCUAAUCUUGGAAGCUAAACAGGGUUGGGCCUUGUUAGUACUUGGAUGGGAGACUGUUGAGAAGACAGGGGCCACAGU